UACGAAGGUGGCAAGCGUUGUUCGGAUUUACUGGGCGUACAGGGAGCGUAGGCGGUUCGGUAAGCCCUCUGUGAAAUCUCCAGGCUUAGCCUGGAACAGUCGGAGGGGACUGCUGGGCUAGAGGACGGGAGAGGAGCGCGGAAUUCCCGGUGUAGCGGUGAAAUGCGUAGAGAUCGGGAGGAAGGCCGGUGGCGAAGGCGGCGCUCUGGAACGUUUCUGACGCUGAGGCUCGAAAGCGUGGGGAGCAAACAGG
rnacentral:rRNA from 1 species